rnacentral:rRNA from 1 species
UACGAGGGGGGCGAGCGUUGUUCGGAAUUAUUGGGCGUAAAGGGCGCGUAGGCGGUGCGGUAAGUCACCUGUGAAACCUCUAGGCUUAACCUAGAGCCUGCAGGCGAAACUGCCGUGCUGGAGUGUGGGAGAGGUGCGUGGAAUUCUCGGUGUAGCGGUGAAAUGCGUAGAUAUCGAGAGGAACACCUGCGGCGAAGGCGGGUUGCUGGGCCGACACUGACGCUGAUGCGCGAAAGCCAGGGGAGCGAACGGG